CACGUAGGGCGCAAGCGUUGUCCGGAAUUAUUGGGCGUAAAGAGCUCGUAGGCGGUCUGUUGCGUCCGCUGUGAAAACUCGGGGCUUAACCCCGAGCCUGCAGUGGAUACGGGCAGACUAGAGGUAGGUAGGGGAGAAUGGAAUUCCCGGUGUAGCGGUGAAAUGCGCAGAUAUCGGGAGGAACACCGAUGGCGAAGGCAGGUCUCUGGGCCGAUACUGACGCUGAUGCGCGAAAGCGUGGGGAGCAAACAGG
rnacentral:rRNA from 1 species